rnacentral:rRNA from 1 species
AGCGAACGCCGGCGGCAGGCUUAACACAUGCAAGUCGAGCGGGCGUAGCAAUACGUCAGCGGCAGACGGGUGAGUAACGCGUGGGAACGUACCUUUUGGUUCGGAACAACACAGGGAAACUUGUGCUAAUACCGGAUAAGCCCUUACGGGGAAAGAUUUAUCGCCGAAAGAUCGGCCCGCGUCUGAUUAGCUAGUUGGUAGGGUAAUGGCCUACCAAGGCGACGAUCAGUAGCUGGUCUGAGAGGAUGAUCAGCCACAUUGGGACUGAGACACGGCCCAAACUCCUGCGGGAGGCAGCAGUGGGGAAUAUUGGACAAUGGGGGCAACCCUGAUCCAGCCAUGCCGCGUGAGUGAUGAAGGCCCUAGGGUUGUAAAGCCCUUUUGUGCGGGAAGAUAAUGACGGUACCGCAAGAAUAAGCCCCGGCUAACUUCGUGCCAGCAGCCGCAGUAA